rnacentral:tRNA from 1 species
GGGCGGUUAGCUCAGCUGGAAGAGCGACUGGUUUACACCCAGUAGGUCGGCGGUUCGAGUCCGUCACCGCCCACCA